UGACAUUAAAGAACAGAUAAUCAUAAAAUGUCUGAGUCAUUUCUAGAGUCAAAAAAAAUUUUUUCUUUCUUUUGAGCUAUUUAUAGCUUACAGCAAUUGGUCAAAAUAGACUUUUGUGAGCAAAACUGAAACAUUUACCUUUCCCUCAACCUGAUUUCUCCAAAAUUUGGAAACUGUUCGUCAGAAGUCCACCAUGGUCUCGAUGCGCUACAGUGGAGGUGGGGGCGGCCACGUUCCCUUGUGGAAGGUCCAGGGAAGAUUCCAUUUGCAGCUCCUCCUGGCCGCCUACCUGCCUCGCCUGGGGGCUCCCUCCCUCCGCUCUGGAAACCUGCCGUGUUGAAUCUCUCUCCUUCCACAGACACACCUCUGUCUCUGACGACGGCUGGGGAAGGUUCUCCACUUUCAAGGACUCGUGUCAUUAGGUCAGUCCCAUCUGGAUAAUCCAAGCUAAUGUCCCCACCUCGAAAUCCUUAAUGGGAUCACAUCUGAAAAAAAGUCCCCUUCACCAUGUAAAAUAACAUAGUCACAGGUUACAGGGGCUUAUGAUGUGGACAUCUUUGGAGAAGGGGACAUUAUUUUGCUGAGCAGAGAUACCCCAGACUCCAGCCACCAAAGCACUCAUCACAUCUCAUCAAACACAAGACCUCAUCACUGUGUACUGGUCCCUCUGCCUGCAAAGUUCUUUCUCGUCUGCCCAAUUCCUACUCAGACCUUCAAGGCUGAACUCAAAAGCCCCCUUCCUCUGGGAAGCCUUUCCUAAUUCCCCCAAGCAGAACUAGUGACACGGCUAGUAUGUUAGGAAAAUCUCUCUCUCUGAUACUUGUCACUUGGCAUUUGAAUUAUGCGUCUACUUGUACAUCUUCCAGUAGCCUGCAAGCAAUUUAAGAGUAAAAACUGAUUUAUUCAACCCCACAUCCCCACCACUCAUCACAACGCCUGGUGCAGGGUAGGGUUUAAGAAACACUGACGGAAUGAACGACUGAAUCUUCUCUAUUUUGCUGUGGAGUGCACCCACCAUCCAAUAUGCAAUCCAAACUAUGACUUUAUGUGUCUGUUGUUGUUGUUUUUCCACAUGCCCGGCCCAUGAUCCAACCUUAAUAAAUACUUGCUGAGCAAAUAAAUUUAUACUUAUACCUAAUAUGUACUAAGCAUU